ensembl:lncRNA
CAAAUAUUUCCAGUCUUUCUCUGGCUCCAGUCAAUCUAAAAAGACCACCGCUUUCACUGGCUCCCCAAGUCCUAUACAAAUAAAGUUGCUGUAUAAAUCAUGCUUUCUGAACCUCUCAAGUCCCAACCCAGUGAAAAGAAAUCUGUAUAAAGUGUGAGUGAACUUCUGCCAUAGAUUCAGCAUCCUCAAGAGACUUUCAGACAAGACUGUGAAAGGCUUUGAUGACAACCAAGACCAAAAGCCCCCUUUUUUCCUGGAACGUUUUACACUGGGAACUUUCUCUCUUUCUGAAUCUUUGGUCACCACUGCAUUCUUUUAUCUCUCUGUUCCCUCAGUUUGUUUGGACAGUGUACAGUAACUUCUACAUGGCCUUGUCUAGACCUGUAACUUUGCUUGCUUUGUGUGCAAGGUCAUGUUGUACACAUAAUAUAGCUCGUCUAGCAAAUCAAGGUCAGAACCAAUGGUCUGUAUAAUAAUAUAACAUCUAAUACACAUAACUGUACCAUUAAAUCCAUACCCUAAACUAAAACACUGCUGGGAUGUGUUGAAAUGAUGUACUGAGAUUCUCUAGCAGAACCUCUCCUCUUUCCACAAGUAAACAGGCCAUAAUUAAUUGUACAGUGUGUAAAUUUAGCCCAGAGGCACGGAGGCCAUCUAAACCCUAACCACAAGGAAAGGUCUUGGCAAAUAGCCACAACAUAUUUUCAAUUUGACCUUUUCCUGUUAGGCCUAAUAACAGUUCUCUGUGUGAAGAUGAUCCAGAUUUUUUCUCAUUUAAGAUUAUAAUGAUCUUGCAGUGGCAUAGAUGUGUUGAUGAUUCAAUAUAAAGCAUGAGUAACACAACAAGACUUUGAAUCAUAUGAUGGGCACGACAGUGGCAAAAGUGAGAACGAUGUCAUAGAUAGCUCUCGCAAUGUUUACAGUAUGCACUCUCAAUAUAGACGAUGUUAAAGGGUAUUAUGGGAGAGCUUUUCAAUCUGCAUGCCAAGACAUGCUUCUACAUAGAGCUGGGGAGUAACGAAAUACAUGUAAUGGCGUUACGUAUUUAAAAUACAAAAUACGAGUAACCGUAUUUCGUUAUAAUUACAUUUUAAAUAAGGGGUAAUCAGAUUACAUUUACAUCUGAAAAGUAUUUAGAUUACCAAAGUGAUUACUUUUAAUUUGAAUGUCAUUUCUUAAUUUAAUAUUUAAGUAAACAGUUUGGGGAUUUUAACCAAUAUGGCAAAUGAUUCUCCGUUGAAACAAAAAAACUGUGUGCAGCAGCCUGUUCAUUUAGCAACUCGUAGUGAGCGUGCAUACAUGCUCAUCAUCACAACACAAAAAUUCUCCUAGAAUUCACAUUUUGUAUUCAGUUAACAGAUCCAUACGAAUCAUGCAAGAAAUAAAAGUUUAUAAAGUCAAAUGACAGCUUUAUGUGCUUUAGGCUACAGAUGAACUUGAAGUCUUUAUUCAUUCGAAAUGUUCAAGAAUAGAUCAUCUUUGGCGCAGUAACGUGAGUUCAUGAUCCAAUUCGUGCACAGAUGAUUCUUUUGAGUCAAUCUUUUAAAAUAAUAAUUUAUUUUGUUUAACGAAAUCAGUGUGGAAACCAGUGGUUCACAAACUGGAUAGAUCUGAGGUGUGUUUCCCAAAAGCAUCGUUAGCGAACUGUAGUUGUUAAAUAUUGAACAAUAACGACAUUGCUUGUGACCGUGGGGAAUGAGCCCUGUCAAUUUUGACUCUUUUGCGAUUCUUUUGUUCCGAUCGCUUCUCCAUAGAGAGGAUUAUCAUCAAUUAAAGUUUGGUCCAUUCAUUAAACAAAUCUAUUGUAUAACUUGGACAACUGUGGAAGCCAGUUGUUUUGGCUACUUUUAUUAUGUGUUUGGUGUGUCUGGAUUCGUUUUGAAGCUUGGAAUGCAGCGUGAAACAGCACGGAAUCCCAUUCAUUGUAUUCAAAUUAAUUUUAUAUUGAUUGAAAGACUGUGAAAAAAAGAUGUUGUUAAAAAUAAAAUGCAAAGAAAACACAAAUCUUAUGACUGGUAGAUGUCACUUUUAUUUAGAGUUGGAAUAUGUUCCUUUGUGUUUCAUAGCUUAAGUAUUCCCUUUCUUUCGGAACAUGCUGCACAACUCCUUGUUCAAGCUCUUGUUCUAUCCAGGCUAGACUAUU